UACGUAGGGAGCAAGCGUUGUCCGGAAUCAUUGGGCGUAAAGCGCGCGUAGGCGGCCUCGUAAGUCCGUUGUGAAAGUCAAAGGCUCAACCUUUGAAAGCCGAUGGAUACUGUGAGGCUAGAGUCCGGAAGAGGCGAGUGGAAUUCCUGGUGUAGCGGUGGAAUGCGCAGAUAUCAGGAGGAACACCAAUAGCGAAGGCAGCUCGCUGGGACGGUACUGACGCUAAGGCGCGAAAGCGUGGGGAGCGGACAGG
rnacentral:rRNA from 1 species